CCUACGGGAGGCAGCAGUAAGGAAUAUUGGUCAAUGGGGGCAACCCUGAACCAGCCAUGCCGCGUGCAGGAAGACGGCCCUAUGGGUUGUAAACUGCUUUUGAACUAGAGAAAACCUUGGUACGUGUACCGAGUUGAUAGUAUAGUUAGAAUAAGCAUCGGCUAACUUCGUGCCAGCAGCCGCGGUAAGACGAAGGAUGCAAGCGUUAUCCGGAUUCAUUGGGUUUAAAGGGUGCGUAGGCGGACUGAUAAGUCAGUGGUGAAAUCUCUCAGCUUAACUGAGAAACUGCCAUUGAUACUGUCAGUCUAGAGUACAGAUGAUGUGGGCGGAAUAUGACAUGUAGUGGUGAAAUACUUAGAUAUGUCAUAGAACACCGAUUGCGAAGGCAGCUCACAAAACUGUAACUGACGCUGAGGCACGAAAGUGCGGGGAUCAAACAGGAUUAGAUACCCUGGUAGUCCGCACCGUAAACGAUGAUUACUCGUUGUUGGCAAUAUGACCGUCAGCGACCAAGCGAAAGCGAUAAGAAUCCACCUGGGGAGUACGCCGGCAACGGUGAAACUCAAAGGAAUUGACGGCGNGAGAGNGCGACGGACGACACGAGGGAGGAGG
rnacentral:rRNA from 1 species